rnacentral:rRNA from 1 species
AACUUUCAACAACGGAUCUCUUGGUUCUGGCAUCGAUGAAGAACGUAGCGAACUACGAUAAGUAAUGUGAAUUGCAGAAUUCAGUGAAUCAUCGAAUCUUUGAACGCACAUUGCGCCCACCAGCACUCUGGUGGGCAUGCCUGUUCGAGCGUCAUUUUCCACCCUCAAGCCCCUACGGGCCUGGUGUUGGGGCUUCUACGGCGGGGUUCGCCCCCCG